UUCAUGAUAAAGCACUUUGUAAAGUAUGCAUAUAUUUGGUCAAAUCAGAAUGAAAGUAUUUGUAAUGGCCAAGGUAUUGUGCUUAAAAAUAUUUAAGUGUUAACUAUACAUUACAUAUUUGUAAGCAUAUUGCCAAUAUUUAUGUGCCAUAAACAGGGUUUUGGAUUUCUCCUGGUUUUUGAAUCAAAUUCAGAGAAACUCUACAGAAUUACUUCCUUAUGCGUAGACUCCUUUUUUGCCAGUAUCAUAAAAUGUUGCUGAGCCCUAGAUUCUGUAUCAUUUGCUUUAUUUAAACUAUACCUGAAACUAAGUGUAAGCAAGUUCUGUGUAGCAUUAACUUCAAAAUUCUCAGUUUAAGAACAUACCAAAUCUAAUUUAUCCUUGUUCUACCCUUCUUGUUCCUUCAGGUUUCAGAUAUUUGUCUUACUCAACCUGAUCACACAGCUCUCUCUAGAUUUCCCAUGAAGAUUUAAUCCCAGCCUAAUGUCAAUAUUCUUUCUGUCAAUAUAGGAAGUUCUCGACUUAUAACAGUUCAUUUAGUGACCAAGCACUGAAAAAAGUGACUUAUGACCAUUUUUCACACUUACAACUAUUGCAGCAUCCCCACGUACUCUGUGUUGAU